CACGGGGGGAGCAAGCGUUGUUCGGAAUCACUGGGCGUAAAGGGCGUGUAGGCGGUUUGGUAAGUGGAAUGUGAAAUCCCUCGGCUUACCCGAGGACCUGCAUCCCAUACUGCCAAGCUUGAGUACGGGAGAGGAUGAGGGAAUUCCUGGUGUAGCGGUGAAAUGCGUAGAUAUCAGGAGGAACACCGGUGGCGAAAGCGCUCAUCUGGCCCGAUACUGACGCUGAUGCGCGAAAGCUAGGGGAGCAAACAGG
rnacentral:rRNA from 1 species